GGAGAGGUGGCUCAGUAGUAAAGAGCACUGGCUAUUCUUCCAGAGGUCCUGAGUUCAAUUCCCAGCAUCCACA
rfam:Cricetulus griseus cell line CHO-K1, whole genome shotgun sequence.